AGUGGAUGGGGAGCAACCUAGUUGUGCGUGUGUAAAGGUAGUGCCAAGAAAAGCGGUGAUCAUGAUGAAAAUCAAUUCCCGGUACCCGAAACCGACACAGGUGGGCAAGUAGAGAAUACUAAGGGGCGCGAGGUAACUCUCUCCAAGGAACUCGGCAAAAUGACCCCGUAACUUAGGGAGAAGGGGUGCCACCGAGAGGUGGUCGCAGUGAAGAGGCCCAGGCGACUGUUUAGCAAAAACAUAGGUCUCUGCAAACUCGAAAGAGGAGGUAUAGGGGCUGACGCCUGCCCAGUGCCGGAAGGUUAAAGAAGUUGGUCAGUCUUAGGAUGAAGCUAGCGACUGAAGCCCCGGUGAACGGCGGCCGUAACUAUAACGGUCCUAAGGUAGCGAAAUUCCUUGUCGGGUAAGUUCCGACCCGCACGAAAGGCGUAACGAUCUGGGCGCUGUCUCGGAGAGAGGCUCGGCGAAAUAGGAUUGUCUGUGAAGAUACGGACUACCUGCAUUUGGACAGAAAGACCCUAUGAAGCUUUACUAUAGCUUGGAAUUGUGUUCGGGCUUCCUGUGCGCAGGAUAGGUGGGAGGCGUAGAAGGUAUUCUUGUGGGGAUACUGGAGCCAACGGUGAGAUACCACUCUCAGGAGGCUAGAAUUCUAACUUAAUUAAGGACAGUUUCAGGUGGGUAGUUUGACUGGGGCGGUCGCCUCCAAAAAGGUAACGGAGGCGUACAAAGGUUCCCUCAGACUGGUUGGAAAUCAGUCGAAGAGUGCAAGGCAGAAGGGAGCUUGACUGCGAGAAGUACAGUUCGAGCAGGGUGGAAACACGGUCUUAGUGAUCCGACGGUGCUGUGUGGAAGGGCCGUCGCUCAACGGAUAAAAGUUACUCUAAGGAUAACAGGCUGAUCUCCCCCAAGAGUUCACAUCGACGGGGAGGUUUGGCACCUCGAUGUCGGCUCAUCGCAACCUGGGGCGGAAGUACGUCCCAAGGGUUGGGCUGUUCGCCCAUUAAAGCGGUACGUGAGCUGGGUUCAGAACGUCGUGAGACAGUUCGGUCCAUAUCCGAUGUAGGCGUGAGAAUAUUGAGAGGAGCCUUCCUUAGUACGAGAGGACCGGGAAGGACGCACCGCUGGUGUACCUGUUAUGAUGCCAAUUGUAAACGCAGGGUAGCCAAGUGCGGAGAGGAUAACCGCUGAAAGCAUCUAAGUGGGAAGCCCACCUCAAGAUGAGUAUUCUGGUGUAAGGUCACGGGAAGACGACCCGUAAAUAGGCACGAGGUGGAAGUGCAGAGAUGUAUGAAGCCGAAGUGUACUAAUAGACCGUCGGCUUGACC
rnacentral:rRNA from 1 species